rnacentral:rRNA from 1 species
GAUGAACGCUAGCUACAGGCUUAACACAUGCAAGUCGAGGGGUAACGAGAGGAAAGCUUGCUUUCCUUGUUGACGACCGGCGCACGGGUGAGUAACGCGUAUCCAACCUGCCCCCAACUAGGGAAUAACCUUGCGAAAGUAAGACUAAUACCCUAUAAUUUCCUCAGAUGUCAUCUGACGAGGAAUAAAGAUUUAUCGGUUGUGGAUGGGGAUGCGUCUGAUUAGCUUGUUGGCGGGGUAACGGCCCACCAAGGCAACGAUCAGUAGGGGUUCUGAGAGGAAGGUCCCCCACAUUGGAACUGAGACACGGUCCAACUCCUACGGGAGGCAGCAGUGAGGAAUAUUGGUCAAUGGGCGAAAGCCUGAACCAGCCAAGUAGCGUGCAGGAUGACGGCCCUAUGGGUUGUAAACUGCUUUUAUACAGGAAUAAAGUUAGCCACGUGUGGUUAUUUGUAGGUACUGUAUGAAUAAGGACCGGCUAAUUCCGUGCCAGCCGCCGCGGUAA